rnacentral:rRNA from 1 species
UACGUAGGGUCCGAGCGUUAAUCGGAAUUACUGGGCGUAAAGCGUGCGCAGGCUGUUUUGUAAGUCAGAUGUGAAAUCCCUGGGUUCAACCUAGGAACUGCGUUUGAAACUACAAGGCUAGAGUGUAGCAGAGGGGGGUAGAAUUCCACGUGUAGCAGUGAAAUGCGUAGAGAUGUGGAGGAAUACCAAUGGCGAAGGCAGCCCCCUGGGUUAACACUGACGCUCAUGCACGAAAGCGUGGGGAGCAAACAGG